rnacentral:tRNA from 1 species
GCCUGACUGGCUUAGUCCUAAAGCGUGUGACUCUUGAUCUCAGGAUCCUGAGUUCAAGCCCCAGUUAGGUG